GUUCUCACUUUGGUAGCACAUAUACUAAGAUUGGGAUGUUACAGAGAAAUUAGCAUAGCCCCUGAGAGGAUAACAUGCAAAUUCAUGCAGCAUUCAAUAUUUUC
ensembl:snRNA U6 U6 spliceosomal RNA